ensembl:snRNA U6 U6 spliceosomal RNA
GUGCUCACUUAAGCAGCACUUAUACUAAAAUUAGAAUGAUACAGAGAAGAUUAGCAUGGC